UUCAAUUGUAGAGAUCUUGGCUUCAAACUUUUGAGGCAUUGAAACCAUGAUCUUUUCUACCACCUUUUGAUCUGUAAAUGCCUCACCAAGAAGCCUCAUUUGGUUUACAACAUCCAUUAACUUGCUAGAAUAAUCUUUCAUAGAUUCGUUGUCUUUCAUCUUCAUCAAUUCAAACUCUCUCUUCAAUGUGAGGAGCCUGACAAUUUUGACAUUGUCACUACCCUCAAAUUCACCUUGGAGCUUGUCCCAUACCCGUUUAGGUGUUUCCAAGUCCAUGAUUUUGGUGAAGAUGUGGUCUGCAAGUCCUGAAUGUAGGCAGGUGAUGGCUUUGUCUUUCUUGAGUUUUUCC
rnacentral:lncRNA from 1 species